ACAUAUUGGGAGCUCCUCUGGGAUUUGAAGAUUCCGUGUCCAGCCAGCCACCGUUUUUGACCUCCAGAUGCUUGGUGUGAGAAGGAAUCUUUUUGUGUUCCAGUCUGGACUCAAAAUUCGGAGGCUCAGCCAGGGCCCCGCCCCCUGCCCCUGAGAAGAUCUCCAAGAAACAGAUAGAAAACCCAGAUUAUUCCUGAUACACUGGUGGUUUCUGCCUCCUAAAUGAUGCUGGGUAUGCUGUGACCACCACUGAGGAAGUCAUUGACCGAUUCCUCAGGACAACAGGCCAAAUUGGAAGCCCUGGCUCGAGCUUGUGAAUUCAUUAGCAAAAGGAAAACUAGGGAACAUUUUUACAUGGGCAGCAGUCAUUUUCUAAGAACUUAUACUGAAGUUGGAAUCCAGAGAGUGGGUCUAUUGGAAAAAGGCAAGGAUUCCCUACUUCCUAGUCCCUACAGUCCUGCUCACCAACCCCUCUGCUGCAAAACUGAAGCUUGACAACUGGAUACAAUCUCUUACCUGAAGAGAAGCUCCAAAUGGAUUGCCCAGUAACCCGGAAAAAGAAGCAGACAACAGCAGGGUGGACCACUUUCCCAAGAUACCGGCCGUGGCCUUAGAAUCUUGUGCUUGUGCCCCAGCUUACAUUAAACUUUUGCAAACUACAUCCCUGUACCAGAUACUGAAUCCAGCUUAGUUGUUACUCUUACUGUAUUAUCUAUUCCCAUGAGCAAAUUCCUUUUCAAAGUUGGUAAAUGUGUAUAAAAUCAACCCCUUUAUAAAUUGAGUCAACUUUGACAAGGUAACUCUGGACCCUUGGUACUUUGGGCACUACUUUUUGGUCAGCGACAGAAUUCCCGAAUUCCUCUUGACCAAGAGGAAAAAACUAUAACCACAAUUUACUGAGGACCGAUUCUCCAUUCCUAGGCCAGUGAGUUGCCUGGGGCAGAUGAAUCUUUGUCAAUUCCAGACUCUUGAUUCAUUUUAUAGAUCUCCCCUGUUAAUAAGAACGUAUGGACCACCUGGAUUUGAUGGAGAUGCCUUAUUAUCCAAGAGAGUUUUAUGAAACCCUGUAUUAAUAGGCGCAAAACGUCCUUCAACUCCAAACUGAAGCCAGAUAGCUCGCAGAUAAGUCCCUACCUGGUGACUUCUUUCCCCAGGAUAGUAAAUCCCUAUCUUAUGGGGACAUCUGGGCGUCCUCAUCCUUGCCAAAC